AUUGAACGCUGGCGGCAUGCCUAACACAUGCAAGUCGAACGGUAACAGGAGCUAGCUUGCUAGCUCGCUGACGAGUGGCGGACGGGUGAGUAAUGCGUAGGAAUUUUCCUCAAAGCGGGGGAUAGCCCGGAGAAAUCCGGAUUAAUACCGCAUGUGCUCUACGGAGGAAAGCGGGCCUCUACUUGUAAGCUCGCACUUUGAGAUAAGCCUGCGUCGGAUUAGCUAGUUGGUAGGGUAAAGGCCUACCAAGGCGACGAUCCGUAGCUGGUUUGAGAGGAUGAUCAGCCACACUGGGGCUGAGACACGGCCCAGACUCCUACGGGAGGCAGCAGUGGGGAAUAUUGGACAAUGGGCGAAAGCCUGAUCCAGCAAUGCCGCGUGUGUGAAGAAGGCCUGCGGGUUGUAAAGCACUUUUAUCAGGAAAGAAAAUCUCGGGGCUAAUAUCCCCGGGCCUUGACGGUACCUGAUGAAUAAGCACCGGCUAACUCCGUGCCAGCCGCCGCAGUAACAC
rnacentral:rRNA from 1 species